UGUUUUUGAUCUUUUUCCUUAAAAGCUCUUCUAAAAUGAUUACAGCAUUACAGAUUUUUUGGGGUAUACUAGUAUCUGGAUAUUUUCAGGAGAAAGUUCUGUCACUGCAUCUUUUUCUCUUUUGCCUUUGAAAAGCACCUGACAGCAACACGUCUGCAUUAUUAUAAUGUCACAGUGGAGGAGUUGCGUUUCGGAAGGCAUCACACCUCUGGUCAUGGUGGUUGCUGGUGCCAAGGCAUGAAGUAAUGAUAAAUAAUGGAGUGGCUCAAAGUGAAAUGCCACAGUGCGGCAUAAAGGGUGGUGGCAAAGUGUGAUUUAACGUGCUAAUUGUCCUUUCACAUGGUCCUUCAGCCUUCACACAGAGGUGCACGACACUUUACGCUAUUGUUGCUGUGUGGUAACCAUGGCAACCGGGCCUGAACAAGGCCGUUGUCAAAAGCUGACAGCUUUCUCGGUUUCUACGAGGGAGGAAAUGUUGAGCCCGGUGACAGCUCAGAUGAAGGAAGUAGACGUCCUGUUCUGCAGAGAGGGAGGGGUGACAAAAGUGUGAGGGCUUCACAGGUGAUUGGUGUAGAAGAUGUACUACAGCUUGAACAAGAGGACAAGGCAAACACGACUGAAGGAAAAUCAAUGUUGUUGACUGGAUUGUGGAGUGCAUUGUUUUAUUAUGCAGUUUACAGUUGUGGAUCGCCUCCUGGUGAAGCUGAACCGAAGAUUAAUCAACUGUUCUCCUCUAAGAUCCUAGGAGAUGUGAUUUGUGUGUUUGCUACAAUUGCUCCUUCAAUUGGCAGUCUGGACUAAUCCGGCACACUCAGAGUUUAAGGAAAACCCAAAAGUAUUUGAAGUUGCAGUAACUCGAAUGACCACUAGAGGCUGUUUCAGAAAAAUACAUAUACUCCAAUGUUAAGCUACGUUCACACCAGCCUCAGCAAGGCUUGUUCAAGCAAGCACUUCCAAUGAAAAGUCAAUGUAAACAUACUGUAUGUGCAUUUCGAGCUUUUCCGUUAAAAAUUCUCACAUUUAUACGUAGCUAUGCACAUUUCUAAGUCAGUUUUAAGUACAAAACGCAUGGAACGGGCGCUAAAACUUAGAUCAGGUCAAACUUUGAACAAUCAGGGACUCGGAUUUGGUUGUGACGUAUGAAUGGCGUCCCUUUUAAUUUGUGGAAGUGCCAACCAUGUGAAAAUAGAUCCUGAAACAAAAAUAAUUGUUGCAGUUUGUGCUUGUCUGGAAUUAUAUUUCACAAAGUCUGUCAUAAAUCGGAAUAGGACUUUGAGGAAAAAGCCUGAAGCAAGAUCGGGGGAUUUGAACUACUUCGACAUUUCGCACCAAGUCUUUUUCAACUGUUGACGGCGGACACACGCUACUAUUAAGGCAAUAGUUUAGUGUGAAUAACGGGGGCUAAAUAAGCGUUGUUAAGGACCCACAUUUGGACGACGCAACAUAAAAAAUGUUAAACUUAGAUUAAAAAAUAAAAAAAA